AAUACUGUAUUACUAGAGGGCAGACGGGGAAAGCGGAAUUCCCGGUGUAGGGGUAAAAUCCGUUGAUAUCGGGAGGAACACCUGAGGCGAAAGCGGCUUUCUAGACUGCUUCUGACACUAAUACGCGAAAGCUAUGGGAGCGAAAGGGAUUAGAUACCCCUGUAGUCCUAGCCCUAAACUAUGUACGCUUGAGGUUAGCGGUAUCGACCCCGUUAGUCUCGCAGGGAAACCGGUAAGCGUACCGCCUGAGGAGUACGGCCGCAAGGUUAAAACUCAAAGGAAUAGACGGGGACCCGCACAAGCAGCGGAGCGUGUGGCUUAAUACGAUGCAACGCGUAGAACCUUACCAGGACUUGACAUCCGGCUAAAACUUUAGAGAUAAAGUGUGUUCCUUUUGGAACAAGUCGAGACAGGUGUUGCAUGGCUGUCGUCAGCUCGUGCCGUGAGGUGUAGGGUUAAGUCCCGUAACGAGCGCAACCCUCAUCGUGUGUUAAAUAUUUCACACGAGACUGCUAGGGAUAACCUGGAGGAAGGUGGGGAUGACGUCAAGUCAGUACGGCCCUUAUGUCCUGGGCUGCACACACGCUACAAUGGCUAGUACAAUGGGUUUUUGCCAAACCGAAAGGUGGAGCUAAUCCCAUCAAAGCUAGCCGCGGUUCGGAUUGAAGGCUGCAACUCGCCUUCAUGAAGCUGGAGUUGCUAGUAAACGCCGGUCAGCACACGGCGUUGAAUAUGUUCCCGGGUCUUGUACUCACCGCCCGUCACGCCAUGAGAGUUGGUAACACCAGAAGCC
rnacentral:rRNA from 1 species